rnacentral:lncRNA from 1 species
AGUGCAGCGUCCUAUGGCCAAGGUAGAAGGUUAAGGAUGUCAGGAUGCUGAGACUUAACCUUAUGAGAGACAGAAGUCAGCUAGGAAGAGUAAGACGGUAGCUGGACGAAGUGAACGAGUAGCUCGACCAGCUCAACGAAGCUAGGUUCAGUUCACUCCAGCUCAGCCAGUACUAAGUCAGCUCCACUAGCUGGACUACUAGGUCACUCAGCUGGGUCAGCUGGGAGCCAACUCAUCUCAGCUAGACGGACUGUUCGGGUUUCGGGCCGAUGGUCCGGGUCAGUGGCGGGACGUGAGGUCCGGCCAAGAGGCCAUGGGCUGUUAGGUCUUUGGACAAGGCCGU